rnacentral:rRNA from 1 species
GACGAACCGUGCAAACGUUAUUCGGAAUCACUGGGCUUAAAGGGCGCGUAGGCGGGCCGCCAGGUCCGGGGUGAAAGCCUCCAGCUCAACUGGAGAAGUGCCUUGGAUACCGGCGGCCUCGAGGGAGGUAGGGGCGUGCGGAACUUCGGGUGGAGCGGUGAAAUGCGUAGAUAUCCGAAGGAACACCGGUGGCGAAGGCGGCAUCCUGGACCGGCAUUGACGCUGAGGCGCGAAAGCCAGGGGAGCAAACGGG